CCUCUUUCAGUAGGGAAGAAGCGUAAGUGACGGUACCUGCAGAAGAAGCACCGGCUAACUACGUGCCAGCAGCCGCGGUAAUACGUAGGGUGCGAGCGUUAUCCGGAAUUAUUGGGCGUAAAGAGCUCGUAGGCGGUUUGUCGCGUCUGUCGUGAAAGUCCGGGGCUUAACCCCGGAUCUGCGGUGGGUACAGGCAGACUAGAGUGCAGUAGGGGUGACUGGAAUUCCUGGUGUAGCGGUGGAAUGCGCAGAUAUCAGGAGGAACACCGAUGGCGAAGGCAGGUCUCUGGGCUGUAACCGACGCUGAGGAGCGAAAGCAUGGGGAGCGAACAGGAUUAGAUACCCUGGUAGUCCAUGCCGUAAACGUUGGGCACUAGGUGUGGGGACCAUUCCACGGUUUCCGCGCCGCAGCUAACGCAUUAAGUGCCCCGCCUGGGGAGUACGGCCGCAAGGCUAAAACUCAAAUGAAUUGACGGA
rnacentral:rRNA from 1 species